rnacentral:rRNA from 1 species
UACCAAAAAAUUAAAUUAUAUUAAUAAUGGUAAAAAGAUAGUUAUAUAUAUAUUUUUGAAAAAAGUUAAUUAAUUAUAACAUAUAAGAGUGAAAUCUGAAUAUGUAUAUCACUCUGGAAUUAACUUAAGAAGAAUUGAAGCUAUGAAAUCCUUGAGGGAAACUGGGAUUGGAUACCCCAUUAUUCAAGGGAAUAAAUUGAUUAGAAGUUUACCAGAGUACUACGAAUAAAACAAUUUAAAACUCAAAGGACUUGGCGGUGUCCUAGACCACUUAGGGGAACCUGUCUCGUAAUCGACAAUCCACGUUAAACCUGACCUUUUUUUGUACAGUUUGUAUACCGUCGUCGCCAGGUAACUUUUUAGAAUAUAUAAGUUAGCGAGCGAGCAUUAAAUAAGCUGAAACGUCAGAUCAAGGUGCAGCCAAUAAGAAGGGGAAGAUGGGUUACAAUUAUAAAUUUAUAAUAACGGAAAAGUUUCUAGAAUUAGGACUUUAUGAAGGAGAACUUAAAAGUAAAGCAUGUUGUAUAUAAACUUCUUGAAUUAGGCUCUGGGACGCGC